CAAAAAAUGAUUAUUUUUUCCCUCUGUAGUGGAGAAGAGAAUAAAAACGAGUCCGGGGUGGAGAAAAAAAGGCCAGAUGAAGGCCAAACUCCAGGCUUCUUCUGAGACUAUAGAUUCCAGCAUCAACAUGGAGCAGCAGCUCCACAUGAGUGAACUGAGGUCUCUGCUAUCCUGUCUGAAGGUGAAGGAGGAUCUGGUGUGGAGAACCAGCACCUGGAACAACUGGAAACUUCACAUUCACAAACAAUGCUCUGAUCCAAAGCUUACACACUUAUUCACUUAUACUUUUUUGCUAUGUUGUAUUUUUAAUGUC